rnacentral:rRNA from 1 species
GACGAACCGAGCGAACGUUAUUCGGAAUCACUGGGCUUAAAGGGCGCGUAGGCGGGCCAUCAAGUCAGGGGUGAAAGCCCCCAGCUCAACUGGGGAAGUGCCUCUGAUACUGGUGGCCUCGAGGGAGGUAGGGGCGUGUGGAACUUCCGGUGGAGCGGUGAAAUGCGUAGAUAUCGGAAGGAACACCGGUGGCGAAAGCGGCGCGCUGGACCUCUUCUGACGCUGAGGCGCGAAAGCCAGGGGAGCGAACGGG